rnacentral:rRNA from 1 species
UACGUAGGGGGCAAGCGUUGUCCGGAUUCAUUGGGCGUAAAGAGCGUGUAGGCGGCUUGGUAGGUCCGCUGUGAAAACUCGAGGCUCAACCUCGAGCUGUCGGUGGAAACUGUCUGGCUAGAGUCCGGAAGAGGAGAGUGGAAUUCCGAGUGUAGAGGUGAAAUUCGUAGAUAUCGGGAGGAACACCAGUGGCGAAGGCGGGUCUCUGGACAGUUCCUGACGCUGAGGCACGAAGGCCAGGGGAGCAAACAGG